rnacentral:rRNA from 1 species
GCAACAGCUCAAAUUUGAAAUCUGGCGUCUUCGGCGUCCGAGUUGUAAUUUGUAGAGGGUGUCUCGGGUGGCACACCGGUCCAAGUCCCUUGGAACAGGAUAACAUAGAGGGUGAGAUUCCCGUAUCCGGCCGGUCCAUGCCCCCGCUGUGAGACCCCUUCGACGAGUCGAGUUGUUUGGGAAUGCAGCUCCAAAUUGGUGGUAAAUUCCAUCUAAAGCUAAAUACUGGCCAGAGACCGAUAGCGCACAAGUAGAGUGAUCGAAAGAUGAAAAGCACUUUGAAAAGAGAGUUAAAAAGUACGUGAAAUUGUUGAAAGGGAAGCGUAUGCGGCUAGACUUAUCCGUGGUUGCUCAGCCCGUCUUCUGGCGGGUGUACUCUUCCACGGCUAGGCCAGCAUCGGUUUGGACGGCCAGAUAAAGGCGUCGGGAACGUGGCCCCCCUCGGGGGGUGUUAUAGCCCGUCGUGCAAUGUGGCCAGUCCGGACCGAGGCCCGCGUUUUCUAGGAUGCUGGCAUAAUGGCCGUAUACGGCCCGUCUUGAAACACGGACCAAGGAGUGCAACAUCUAUGCGAGUGUUUGGGUGCAAAGCCCGGACGCGUAAUGAAAGUGAACGGAGGUGGGAGCCUCGGCGCACCAUCGACCGAUCCUGAUGUCUUCGGAAGGAUUUGAGUAAGAGCAUAGCUGAUGCGACCCGAAAGAUGGUGAACUAUGCGUGAAUAGGGUGAAGCCAGAGGAAACUCUGGUGGAGGCUCGCAGCGGUUCUGACGUGCAAAUCGAUCGUCAA